CCUACGGGUGGCAGCAGUGGGGAAUAUUGGACAAUGGGGGGAACCCUGAUCCAGCCAUGCCGCGUGUGUGAAGAAGGCCCUCGGGUUGUAAAGCACUUUCAGUGAGGAAGAACGCCUGGUGGUUAAUACCCAUCAGGAAAGACAUCACUCACAGAAGAAGCACCGGCUAACUCCGUGCCAGCAGCCGCGGUAAUACGGAGGGUGCGAGCGUUAAUCGGAAUUACUGGGCGUAAAGCGCGCGUAGGUGGCUUGAUAAGCCGGUUGUGAAAGCCCCGGGCUCAACCUGGGAACGGCAUCCGGAACUGUCAAGCUAGAGUGCAGGAGAGGAAGGUAGAAUUCCCGGUGUAGCGGUGAAAUGCGUAGAGAUCGGGAGGAAUACCAGUGGCGAAGGCGGCCUUCUGGACUGACACUGACACUGAGGCGCGAAAGCGUGGGUAGCAAACAGGAUUAGAUACCCCUGUAGUC
rnacentral:rRNA from 1 species